rnacentral:rRNA from 1 species
GUCGAACGAAACUUCUUUAUCACCGAGUGCUUGCACUCACCGAUAAACAGUUGAGUGGCGAACGGGUGAGUAACACGUGGGCAACCUGCCCAAAAGAGGGGGAUAACACUUGGAAACAGGUGCUAAUACCGCAUAACCAUAGUUACCGCAUGGUAACUAUGUAAAAGGUGGCUAUGCUACCGCUUUUGGAUGGGCCCGCGGCGCAUUAGCUAGUUGGUGGGGUAAAGGCUUACCAAGGCAAUGAUGCGUAGCCGAACUGAGAGGUUGAUCGGCCACAUUGGGACUGAGACACGGCCCAAACUCCUACGGGAGGCAGCAGUAGGGAAUCUUCCACAAUGGGCGAAAGCCUGAUGGAGCAACGCCGCGUGGGUGAAGAAGGUCUUCGGAUCGUAAAACCCUGUUGUUAGAGAAGAAAGUGCGUGAGAGUAACUGUUCACGUUUCGACGGUAUCUAACCAGAAAGCCACGGCUAACUACGUGCCAGCAGCCGCGGUAAUACGUAGGUGGCAAGCGUUAUCCGGAUUUAUUGGGCGUAAAGGGAACGCAGGCGGUCUUUUAAGUCUGAUGUGAAAGCCUUCGGCUUAACCGGAGUAGUGCAUUGGAAACUGGGAGACUUGAGUGCAGAAGAGGAGAGUGGAACUCCAUGUGUAGCGGUGAAAUGCGUAGAUAUAUGGAAGAACACCAGUGGCGAAAGCGGCUCUCUGGUCUGUAACUGACGCUGAGGUUCGAAAGCGUGGGUAGCAAACAGGAUUAGAUACCCUGGUAGUCCACGCCGUAAACGAUGAAUGCUAAGUGUUGGAGGGUUUCCGCCCUUCAGUGCUGCAGCUAACGC